GGACCUUGCGGCAGCCUUAACUGCAGUCGAACGGCAGCACGGGAGCUUGCUCCUGGUGGCGAGUGGCGAACGGGUGAGUAAUAUAUCGGAACGUGCCCUAGAGUGGGGGAUAACUAGUCGAAAGAUUAGCUAAUACCGCAUACGAUCUAAGGAUGAAAGUGGGGGAUCGCAAGACCUCAUGCUCGUGGAGCGGCCGAUAUCUGAUUAGCUAGUUGGUGAGGUAAAGGCUCACCAAGGCGACGAUCAGUAGCUGGUCUGAGAGGACGACCAGCCACACUGGAACUGAGACACGGUCCAGACUCCUACGGGAGGCAGCAGUGGGGAAUUUUGGACAAUGGGGGCAACCCUGAUCCAGCAAUGCCGCGUGAGUGAAGAAGGCCUUCGGGUUGUAAAGCUCUUUUGUCAGGGAAGAAACGGUAGAGGCUAAUAUCCUUUGCUAAUGACGGUACCUGAAGAAUAAGCACCGGCUAACUACGUGCCAGCAACCGCGGUAAUACGUAGGGUGCAAGCGUUAAUCGGAAUUACUGGGCGUAAAGCGUGCGCAGGCGGUUGUGCAAGACAGAUGUGAAAUCCCCGGGCUCAACCUGGGAAUUGCAUUUGUGACUGCACAACUAGAGUGUGUCCCAGGGGGGUAAAAUUCCACGUGUACGAUGGAAAUGCGUAAAUUGUGGCAGGA
rnacentral:rRNA from 1 species